rnacentral:rRNA from 1 species
UACAGAGGGGGCAAGCGUUGUUCGGAAUUACUGGGCGUAAAGGGCGCGUAGGCGGCCUGGCAAGUCGGGUGUGAAAGCCCUGGGCUCAACCUAGGAAGUGCACUCGAAACUGCCUCGCUUGAAUGCCGGAGAGGAAAGCGGAAUUCUCGGUGUAGAGGUGAAAUUCGUAGAUAUCGAGAGGAACACCGGUGGCGAAGGCGGCUUUCUGGACGGUGAUUGACGCUGAGACGCGAAAGCGUGGGGAGCAAACAGG